rnacentral:rRNA from 1 species
UACGUAGGGACCGAGCGUUGUCCGGAAUCAUUGGGCAUAAAGAGCGUGUAGGCGGCUUGUUAAGUCUUGCGUGAAAUCUCGGGGCUCAACCCCGAGCGGUCGUGAGAAACUGGCAGGCUAGAGUGCGGGAGAGGAGAGUGGAAUUCCUGGUGUAGCGGUGAAAUGCGCAGAUAUCAGGAAGAACACCCGUGGCGAAGGCGGCUCUCUGGAACGCAACUGACGCUGAGACGCGAAAGCGUGGGGAGCAGACAGG